CCUACGGGUGGAGGCAGUGGGGAAUAUUGGACAAUGGGCGAAAGCCUGAUCCAGCCAUGCCGCGUGUGUGAAGAAGGCCUUCGGGUUGUAAAGCACUUUCAGUGGGGAAGAAAGCCUUGGGGCUAAUACCCUCGAGGAAGGACAUCACCCACAGAAGAAGCACCGGCUAACUCCGUGCCAGCAGCCGCGGUAAUACGGAGGGUGCGAGCGUUAAUCGGAAUUACUGGGCGUAAAGCGCGCGUAGGCGGUCUGAUAAGCCGGUUGUGAAAGCCCCGGGCUCAACCUGGGAACGGCAUCCGGAACUGUCAGGCUAGAGUGCAGGAGAGGAAGGUAGAAUUCCCGGUGUAGCGGUGAAAUGCGUAGAGAUCGGGAGGAAUACCAGUGGCGAAGGCGGCCUUCUGGACUGACACUGACGCUGAGGUGCGAAAGCGUGGGUAGCAAACAGGAUUAGAUACCCGUGUAGUC
rnacentral:rRNA from 1 species